rnacentral:rRNA from 1 species
CCUACGGGAGGCAGCAGUAGGGAAUCUUCCGCAAUGGACGAAAGUCUGACGGAGCAACGCCGCGUGAACGAUGAAGGCCUUCGGGUCGUAAAGUUCUGUUGUCAGGGAAGAACAAGUACCGGAGUAACUGCCGGUACCUUGACGGUACCUGACCAGAAAGCCACGGCUAACUACGUGCCAGCAGCCGCGGUAAUACGUAGGUGGCAAGCGUUGUCCGGAAUUAUUGGGCGUAAAGCGCGCGCAGGCGGCUCCUUAAGUCUGAUGUGAAAGCCCCCGGCUCAACCGGGGAGGGUCAUUGGAAACUGGGGAACUUGAGUGCAGAAGAGGAGAGCGGAAUUCCACGUGUAGUGGUGAAAUGCGUAGAGAUGUGGAGGAACACCAGUGGCGAAGGCGGCUCUCUGGUCUGUAACUGACGCUGAGGCGCGAAAGCGUGGGGAGCGAACAGGAUUAGAUACCCUGGUAGUCCACGCCGUAAACGAUGAGUGCUAAGUGUUAGAGGGUUUCCGCCCUUUAGUGCUGCAGCAAACGCAUUAAGCACUCCGCCUGGGGAGUACGGCCGCAAGGCUGAAACUCAAAGGAAUUGACGG